CGUAGGUAACCUGCCUGGUAGCGGGGGAUAACUAUUGGAAACGAUAGCUAAUACCGCAUAAGAGUAGAUGUUGCAUGACAUUUGCUUAAAAGGUGCAAUUGCAUCACUACCAGAUGGACCUGCGUUGUAUUAGCUAGUUGGUGAGGUAACGGCUCACCGAGGCGACGAUACCUAGCCGACCUGAGAGGGUGAUCGGCCACACUGGGACUGAGACACGGCCCAG
rnacentral:rRNA from 1 species